rnacentral:rRNA from 1 species
GAGGAAUAUUGGUCAAUGGACGCAAGUCUGAACCAGCCAAGUAGCGUGCAGGAUGACGGCCCUAUGGGUUGUAAACUGCUUUUAUGUGGGAAUAAAGUGGCGCACGUGUGCGCCAUUGCAUGUACCUCAUGAAUAAGGACCGGCUAAUUCCGUGCCAGCAGCCGCGGUAAUACGGAAGGUCCGGGCGUUAUCCGGAUUUAUUGGGUUUAAAGGGAGCGUAGGCCGUGGAUUAAGCGUGUUGUGAAAUGCAGGUGCUCAACGUCUGCACUGCAGCGCGAACUGGUCCACUUGAGUGUGCACAACGCAGGCGGAAUUCGUCGUGUAGCGGUGAAAUGCUUAGAUAUGACGAAGAACUCCGAUUGCGAAGGCAGCUUGCGGGAGCACAACUGACGCUGAAGCUCGAAAGUGCGGGUAUCGAACAGGAUUAGAUACCCUGGUAGUCCGCACGGUAAACGAUGGAUGCCCGUUGUCAGGCUGUUUCAGCCUGGUGACCAAGCGAAAGCAUUAAGCAUCCCACCUGGGGAGUACGCCGGCAACGGUG